rnacentral:rRNA from 1 species
UACGAAGGGGGCUAGCGUUGCUCGGAAUCACUGGGCGUAAAGCGCACGUAGGCGGCUUUCUAAGUCAGGGGUGAAAUCCUGGAGCUCAACUCCAGAACUGCCUUUGAUACUGGAGCUUGAGUCCGGGAGAGGUGAGUGGAACUCCGAGUGUAGAGGUGAAAUCGUAGAUAUUCGGAAGAACACCAGUGGCGAAGGCGGCUCACUGGCCCGGUACUGACGCUGAGGUGCGAAAGCGUGGGGAGCAAACAGG